GGGCACGGCCAGGGGUACCCGUUGCUCGUCGAGCACGGGCUGAGACACACCCUUCGAACCUGAUCCGGCUCGCACCGGCGCAGGAAGUGCUUCGGCACCGUCCG
rnacentral:ncRNA from 1 species